rnacentral:tRNA from 1 species
GUAGAGCAGUGGUAGCUCGUCGGGCUCAUAACCCGAAGGUCGCAGGUUCAAAUCCUGCC